UUGAUGUCACCCGCCUCUUCCUGCUGGAACUCCUUAUCACCAUAAGUUCCGCCAUCUUGGAGCAGUUGAUUUUGAGACUCUCGUCAGCAAAGAUAUUUUCUUUUAAUUUUCAACGAGUGGCAUUGUAGGCAGGAUUGCAGAACCAUUGCCAAAAGAGAGGAACAGGACACCAGGGACAUUAUGCAAGUGAUGAUGAUGGAAACCCAGGAACUGAAAGAUGAGGACAGGGAACAAUGGACUGUUGGGGCUGUCCCAGACCGGAAAACUGAUAGCUUUCCCACCCUUGGUGUCAUUUCUGGUGCCCGCAUACCUGGACCCUUCUACUCCUGCUGGAAUUCCUUGUCACUUGAAGUUCCACCAUCUUGGAGCAGUCGAUUUUGAGAUUUACGUCUGCAAAGACAUUUUCUUUUCACUUACAACAUGUUCUCUUUCAAUUAUAUGGAGUUUGCCUAUGGGUGCCC